rnacentral:tRNA from 1 species
GGAGAGGUGCCGGAGCGGUUGAACGGGGCGGUCUUGAAAACCGUUGUGGUCUUACGGCCACCGUGGGUUCGAAUCCCACCCUCUCCG